rnacentral:misc_RNA from 1 species
AAGCAAACUGCGUCUCGUCAAAAUAGUUGUGAUCAUCAUCUCAUUUGUUUUUGGCAUUGCUAUGCUUUCAACUGCCAUUUAUUAUGGGUUCAAGAAGAAUAAAAGGGAGCAAUCACUAAUUCCUUGCAAAUAAGGACAUUUCAGAAGAUAUCAUAUGAAAUGAUUCUUAAGGCAACUGAUGGGUUCUCUUCAGCAAAUUUGAUUGGUGCGGGAAGCUUUGGGUCUGUGUAUAAAGGCACUUCUGU